AAGCCGGUGCAGAACCAUUUGAACCUCAGAGCUCUUUCUUCAUGAGUUCAGAAAACCAGGUUAAUGGUGACAUGGAGUACCACUUCCAAGAUGGAGACACUAAAACACCAGCAGCCUUCCUCAAUAGGCUCAUGAUACAGAAUGGUAUGCCAUUAAAAAUAUCUUGUAUCACACCUGUUAUCAUAUUUUCAGUUGCCAGUCCUAGCAGGUUUUAUGGACUGUGCCUGUUACAAAAUUGUUUCUCUUUCAGUGUCGUCUACAACGGCUUCUCCAGCAACUACAAGACAUGUCGCUUUGACGUCAGUAGCAGCUCCAUCAAUAGUAUCUGGUUCAGCUGUGGUUCAGACCAGGAUGGUCUUCAGUUCCUCCUCUCCUGUUCCCACUGAGAGUUUGGUCCUCAGUGCAAUUCGGUCUCUUCUGAGUGCUCGACUCACAAACCUCACUGACUCUGUAAAAGUGCUGAACUUCACCUAUGAGAGUAUGUUUUCUUUACUAAUAACACAAUUACAUACUUUACAAAUUAUGGUCUCAUCAAUGU